UGUUGGGCUGCUGAGGGGCGAUGAGGCCAGCCUGGGAGUGGUGGUGGAGAGCCCCCCUGAGCAGGACAGCAGCACAGAGGGCAGGAAGCCAAGCCAAGAGGCUGGGAGGGACGAUCCCUGCUGAUGGCGUCGAGCACCCAGGCUGUCAGCUGGAUGAGAAUGGAGAGCUCUACCUGCUUCUCCUGCUGUGCUGUGCCCGGUGUCCAGAGCCAGCCGGCAGCAGCAGGGCAUCAGUGACGUGCGCUGGACCAGUGAACACUGCAGACCACACAGGAGCAUACUUCCAGGAGUGCUAAGCGCCGUUGGCUCCUUCACUGUCCAUGGAGCCCAGCUCUGUGCCCGGCCCUGACUUGCACUGUAGGCAUCAUGGCCGUGAAGGAGACAAACUCUGCCGCCCCCUGGAGCCGACGUCACAGAGGGGCAAACAGUGAGCAGAGCACAGCAGCCCACUGUGCAUGUGCAGCCAGAAGCGUCUUCUCCAAUGGAGGCCGAGGACGUCACUCCCUGGUCCUGAUCCCCUGCUCCUUAGAACCUGAGCCAGGGCCCUUGCAGUGGAACUGAGCUUGGACUAAUGAGGCAGCUCAGAGGUAGCCGCUGGCCAGCCAGCCAGGGCCCAACCUCACAGAAGAGGAGAAAGCCUCAUCAGCAGAGCAUUCCACUGUCAGAGCUGACUGCUUUCCAGGCCUGAGCUGGAGGAUAUCUAAGCUGGGCCGUGCUCUUCCAGUGGGAUCAAUGCCUGAUUCACCUCAGGGAGCCCGAUGGGGUCUGGCCAGGUGCCCAGCAUGUGGGCUUCGCAGAGGGCCCUGCUCUCUGUGGGUGAAGGAAAAUCUUCUCUGCCCGCUCAGAUGCUGGGACCGUCCCAGGGCCGUCUCAUGAGCAGGUGGAAAGACUCUGCAUGCAGUGUCACCGGCCUUGCGAGCAGCAGCCAGCGGCCUCCUGGACAUCCUCAGGCUUCUGAGGAGCCCCUGCGGAAGCUCCCUGACACACGACCCUCCCUCUGGACCCCAAGAUGUCUGGCUUCCUGUGGAGCUCCCUUAGACAUGGAGCUGGGUGAGCAGCCCAGACCUCGGUCAGCACUCCCAGGGGGAUCGCUCUGCACCACUGUCAUAAAAAGGAGACAUCGUCCCAGUGGACAGGCCCAGCUCCUGCGUUACAGUCAGAAAACUCAGCCUGACGUGGAAGUGACCCGAGGCUGCUUUGAGGGCCCAAACCCGUGCCGCAGUCCAGGCUCUGAGGUUUCACCUCAGUGGGGCUGAAAUGCAGACCUGCAGUGAGGGUGGCCCCUCCUCAUGACCCCAGGUGCCUCCAGGCCGUCCUCCUAGUUCACCAAGUGUUUUGGACACGAUGCUUCUUAGGUCACGGAGGUGCCAGGUCCCUUCUGAGUUGAAUCUCUGCAGAUAGUGCCACUGUGGUUGGCAUAGCUCCGCUGGCCGCUGGACCAAGGCCUCUCACCUGCAUAUCCCUGCAUGUCCACGUGUCCUUCUUGCACGGCCCCCACGCACAGCGGAAGGCGUCCACCUUGGGCCGAACUCCGACGCCGCUGGCCAGCUCUGGAUUCUAUGUCUCACCUCCACAUAAAUGCAGGGGGGCGGCUCGACCUCCCGCUCUGGGAUGGGACUGGCUGGGACCUCACAUGGGCCAUACCCUGUUCGGCUUGCCAGGCCGGGUCCUGCUCGGCAGGCAGCAGCACAGGCCUCGUAGCACUGUGAGCAGCUUCCCAGUGGCGCCCCCACCUCUGGCCCUGGCUGCAGCCUGAAGGGGAGGCUGGGGUCGCCCCACCAGGCUAUCCAGCCUGCCGAGAGUCUCUGUGGCAGUUUCCCUCCCGGGCCCCACGGCUGGUGCUGGUGCUGUGGGUGGAGGGGACGGCCCCGGGGACCCGCGGAGAGGUCGGGCUGGGGGUGGUGGCGCCCGACUCCAGGCGAGCAGGCUCUGUGACCUUCAGCACUGACUCCUGCUUCUCCUCGGGCCACUGACAGCCAGCCUCGCAAAGCCAGGUGGGCAGAACCGGCUCACUGCCACCACGUCAGCCGAGAUGGGCAGAGGCCCUCAGCUGUGCUGUGCAGGCUGGCAAAGAGCUGCAGCUGCUGGCCUCGGCGGACGGGAGGGACCUCCCGGUGCUGGUGUGCCCAUCCCCCUGGGCCUUCUGAGACUUCAGGAUGAAGAACAUGCCCACACUAUUGUCAUACCUUCAUCUGCGAGACUCCUGGAUUUGAUUCCACUGAAAACCCAUCUUCAUCAUUGCUUCUGUCACCCAGGAGUCCCUUGUGUCACAAGGCAGCUCCUAUACGGGCUCAGUUUCGGCCAGCUCUGAUUGACCCAUGGGUCUCCCAUGACCUCUUCUAAGGUCUUCCUCUUCCUGGGGUCAAGGGUCAGCAGGACUCUCAUAAUUGGAUGCAUUCCAACAAAAGGAGCAUGGGGAGCGAGUAGGCCCCUCUGAGCAUGCUCUGCCGCACGUCACUGAAGUCCUCUCCCCAGAACGGCGGGGACCCAGUGAGCAUGACAUGGAGCAGCACGCCAAGGCUCCAGCCGUCAGCUGGGGGGCCGUCUUAGGGCUGCAGUCGCAGGACCUCCGGGGCCGUGUAGCCGGGGGUGCCCCAGUAGGUGCUCAGUGGCCGGCCGGGGACCACGCUGCUGAGGCCGAAGUCGGCCAGCUUCGCGUUCCCCUCCGGGUCCCGGUGCACGAUGCCCUUGCGGUGGCAGUACUGGAGAGCCGAGACGAGCUGCCGGGACCGGCCGCGGGCCUCCUCCGUCAGGGGGCCAUGCUGCAACCGAGGGUCGAGGGUGUCCCCUCUGCUGAUGUAUUCUGUGAUGAUGAACAGCGUCUCCUCCGUGUCGAUCACCUCUAGCAGCUUUACAAUGUGGGGUGGUGCAAUAUCUUCAAACUCUGCAUUUCACCGAGGAGUCUCUUGGCUCUGGAGGAGCUCUGCUCCUGCUUCGGGGUGAUUUUCACGGCAACCUCUGUCCCGGCCGGGAUGUGCAGGGCCAGCUUCACCUGUGAAGGAGCCCUCCCCAAUGGUCCUGAGGAGCUCGUAAUCGUGAAGACAGGUCUGCCUGCCAGAGAGGUGGCAGCGAGGCCUGGAAGCAUGGUGACCUCAUAACUACACUUACUGACAAUACCAACCAGUGAUGCUAACUAUGCUUACUAACUACGCCAACAAACAAAAUGUUAGUCUGCUAACUAAUACUGACUAACAAUAGUAACAAGGCCACCGAUGCUUGCUAACUUACUAACUAUGCUAAUAAGUAACACUAACUAUACCAAAGAUGCUAACUCUACUAACUACACCAACAAUACUAACUAUACUAACUGUAAUAACAAUACUAACUAAAAAAUUGUUUUAAAAUGUGAAAAAGAACAAAAAAGGCAAGGAAAAAUAAAAAAUGAGAAAAGAACAGGUUUUCGUAAAUUCCAUCACAGUGGCUCCUUAUGAAGUCAGAGCAGGAAAUGCACCAGGCAUGGCUGGGGAUAAACUAUAGUGGUUGGCUCCCUUUUUGGUCUCAAGAACACGUUACUGUGAAAAAAAAAAAACAGGACAGCAAAGAGCUUUUUAUGUAUGUAGGAUAUUAGACAGUGAUAUUUACUUUAUUAGAAAUUAAAACCUGUAAGAUGCUUCAGUGGCCUUUUCAUUUCAUUUCUAAUUUUAAAAUCUCUAAUAAUUUUUGGCUGUUAAAGACCUCAAAACACCCACACUUAAAAUAUUCAACUCCUUUUCCUUAAACUCUGAUUACUCUCAAAAUGAUCCUACCACUGAAGGGCUGUCAUAAUCCUAUAGGAAAACUUUCUGUUGCAUGAGACCUGAGAAGGGACAUCAUUAACGCUGACAAAGCUGAGAGGAAGAGAGCUUUCCUCCUAUUUUCCCCAGUAAGAUCAGGAGCUGAUUUCUCACCAGAAACCUUGGAGGCCAGAGGGCAUGGGCUGACGUACCCAAAGUGCAGAAGUAAAAAAGAAUCCAACCAAG
ensembl:lncRNA